UCCCUCUAACAUUAGUCUGAAUACGUGAUUGAAAGUUUGGAAUGAAUCAAAGGUGGGUUAUUAUUUAUUAAAAGGAAAAUUACGAGCACUUGAAGUGAUAAUACUUCCUUAAUUACGUGUACUGAUUGGACUUUGGUUAUCAGAUAUAACAGUAUAGUAACUAAUAAUAGAUUGAAAUGUCAGCUUAAUGGAGUAUUGGUCAUUCAUAGUUAGCACUUAGCAACAGAGUGGCUGCAUAGUCAAUUCUUACAUGGCUAGAAGAAGUUCUAUUAGGGGUGACUUUGUUGCAUAUUGUAUAAAACCUCUUUUAUUGCCAAAUAACACAAAUUGUAGCCCGCAGCUAUAAUUUUCGCAUGGCUUGCACAAGGAUCCAACUCAAUUCUUCUCAUCUGUCGCUUGCUUUCUUCUGUUAAAAGGCUUAUCUCUCUUCGUACUCUUCACUUUCUCCAUGAGUGAUAAGAUGUUACAGCACUCCUCUUCAGUGGAUUUCAACCGUAUGAUUCUGCAAGUUCUAAUUUACAAUAGCAUCACAAUUUGGGGUUUCCUUUCACUGAAAUCUUUUGGUGGACAUGCUAAAGCAUUGAUUUAGAGCUUUGAAAAUUAAUUUUGAGGUGACCAAGGUAUAUAGUUUGAAAGAAAGGGGGAGAUCGCUAAAGGAAAUCUAACACAUUGUGAUACGUCUCACUUGGACUGACAAAGCAUGAUUCAGAGACGUGGGAUUGCAUGCCCAAUGAAGAACAGCGGAGUUUGCAUGUCACUUAAAUUGCCAUGAAAUUUCGCCUGAUAGCUUUAGACGAGGUAGCCCAUAGAUAACUAGGGCUUAUUCUUUGGGUCUUAUUAUUUACCGUCCGUAUAUUACUUAAAGUCGCCCGUGUUUUACUCACUACUUCCUAGACCCUAUAGCUAUUUGUUGUUCGUGUUUACUAAACAUUGCCCGUAUUUUUUUCUUUAUAUUCCCCCCUUGGCCUCCCAUUUCACUCCACUCCACUCAUCCACUCUUCCCCUCUCACUUCUAUCCGCUCUCACUCACUUACUUUGUGACUCAUUUGUGACUUGCCCGACCGCCACCACCACCACCACCAGCGGCACCACCAACUUGAGCACCACCGCAAACUUGAGCAGCACCACCACCAUUACCAUAAUAACCCGGGCGUAGUUGAACACCACCACCACGCGUGAGCACCACCACCACCGGUGGCCAACUUCACCAUCACUGGAGUCACCACUACGGGCGACCAACCACCACUGUGAUAAUGUCCGAUGAAUAACCGUCAACACCGCCAUCAUCAUCUGGACGUAAUGUGGUUAGUUUUCGAUUUUAUUCUGGUCAUCACGCUCGGUAACAUUUAAAAUUUCGUUUCCUCCACCGAAGAAAUGGAGUUUUGUUCCGUUUCCUCCACGGAGGAAACGAAAUUUCACUUCGUUACCAUGGUAACGAAGUUUUUUUCGGUUCCAUCUUUUCAAUUUUGUGAAUUUCGAAUGUUAUGCGACUGUUAUUACGUGUUUUUUUUUUUAUAUUUUCGAAUUUUGUUGUGUGUUUCUUUUUUUACUUUCGAAUGUUUAGUGAUAUUAACAUGUUAAUUAGUAUAAUUUUUAUAUAAUAAUUUGAAACAUAAUAUUGUUUUCCAACAAAAAUGUUGAUAGUAUCUUAUAAUUUGUAAUUACAUUCAUUAAAUGUAGUAUGUUAAUAAUUUUUUUU